rnacentral:lncRNA from 1 species
AAGGGAAUUUCCAUCUCUGCCCGCCCACUCUCCCUUAUUCUAGACGAGAGCCGAGUUUUCUUUUUACAAGAAAACGUAAUUGACUGCCAUCGUCGCAGUCCCUUUUUUGAAAUUUAUUAAUCAUUCUUCUUCUUCUCCCUCUUCUCCUUCCGUCCUUCUCGAGCGCUUAUUUCUCUCUGUCCACAAAUUCCGUGCUGUGCACAAAAGGGUCCGGAAACCUCAAAGUUUGUGUCGAGUCAAAAGGAAAAAAGAAACAAGUUGAGAGAGAGAAUGGAGGAUUUGUAGACUUGUGAAUGAAGAAGACAAGACAAAUAAAAAAAUAAGGUGUUUCGUGUGUACAUACCUGCAAAGUCUCAGGGUCUUUUGAGGAACACAGCGACAGGAAAGGAAACGCUCAUCAUGUGGGAGGAGUAUUAAAAAUGCGCCUAUAGUUCUCUGCGGCUGUGAGUGUUUAUACAUAUUUUCACGCACCACAGAUAGUAUAUACCGUUGAUCUAAAUAGAAAGCCUACCUGACUCUUAUUUUUAUUCUUUCAGGCUCUGAUUUCAAUUGCUGCGCAUCCGUUGGUAACGGAGAAAUUACCUAAACAAAAUGGUCUCCGUAUAGUAGCAGUAGUAGUAGGUGAGCACUGUCUACUGUUUCAUCGCACUGCUUCUGUGUGUUAACACAUGGGAAAGUCGGUUGAACUUAUCACUAAACUCUUCUUCUUCCCCCCUCUUUUCCCUGAACAGAAACUUCCAUGUGUGUGUGGAUGAUGGUGAUUAAAAAGGCUGGAGCAAUUCUCACGGUUACCUGCCUCUAUAUCAACCAGAAAACGACGUCCUUUUCAGACAAAAAAAAAAAAAAAAAGACGUCGAGCCGCGUGUUACAAACGCAUUCAAAAAGGUGAAACUGUCACUGGAACUGGAAGACGAGGAGAGAGUUGAGUAACAAAGUUCAAGGUGUUGCGACCUUUAGAGAAGAGAAAAAAGGCAACUCUUCCAUCCGGGUGUGAGUUCAUGUCAUCACAAAUCGUAUAACAAAACUUUUGUGGGACCGUUUUCCCUAACAUAAUAGUGCCAGUCCAUGUUUAUUAAAUUAUUAGAUUCACGACGUUUUCCCUUUCACUUUGGGACGAAUAUCGACAUCAUGCGGUUUGAAAGAAAUCAUUUCAGUCUAUGCAAUCAAGCCCUGCAAUCUAGAUGAAUGCUAUCAUGCUGAUGAUGGCCUUUGUUUGGCCCUUUUUCUCGCCUUGACACAAAGGAUUUAGCUUUGUGUACUUUGGCAUGAAUAUUGCUGGGACUUUGGGUUUCUAUACUCCCCAGCACUUGCGGGGCGUCGUGAUUGCAUUCGUUUAUAAGCUUAUACACCAUUAUGUUAUAUUUUUCAUCGCUUUUUGUGUCGAAAUAUCUUAUUGGAUUAUUAUUAUUCCCACUCGUGUUGUACAUUGACUUUGAAUACAUGAGGGUGUAGUGUACUAUUAUAGUAAUCAUAUUCCUUUCACUUUCGCUUUCGAUAUGUAAUUUUUUUUUGUUUUUAUUCGAAGGGCUUCUUUAUAUGUGCCGUUGUCUAGAAAUAAAUUUAUUCCCUCUUGUCCGCUUUUAUCUUAUAUCUUUUUUUUUUUUUGCGGUUGGGAUUUAGGGGCGGGGUCGAUUUUGACAGCUAGUAAAAGAAAAGUGUCGUCUGCUGUUGUUUUGUUUCAUAAAUGAACCUAGAUACCUUCAAGUUUACCUAAUACCAAGAAGUUUAAGAAGCAAAACGGAAUGAUAACCAUUCGAAAUUCCACCAAAGGUUCUCUUGAACUCACUUUGCAAAGUGCAACUAGAACAUUUUCCUAGCACCACAGCACUGGCACCUCAUGAUUCUCGUAGCCGGAUCAACCCCGCCCAUGGUAACAAAAACAACUGUGAAUCAUUAUUGAUUACGUAUAUUCCACUUUUUUUGUUUUUUAUUCCGCCAAGCCGGUUUAUUGUUUGCUGGUCUUUUUGUAAUGAAACUGA